rnacentral:tRNA from 1 species
UGGUCUAGCGGUUAGAACGCUGGUCUUGUAAUCCUGGGGUCCCGGGUUCGAUUCCCGG